rnacentral:rRNA from 1 species
GACGAACGCUGGCGGCGUGCCUAAUACAUGCAAGUCGACCUUAGUGGCGAACGGGUUAGUAACACGUGGGUAACCUGCCCAUAAGACGGGGAUAACACUUGGAAACAGGUGCUAAUACCGUAUACUGAUGGAUGUACCAGGUGUGCAUUAGCUAGUUGGUGGGGUAACGGCUCACCAAGGCCAAGAUGCAUAGCCGAUCGGAGAGGGUGACCGGCCACAUUGGGACUGAGACACGGCCCAAACUCCUACGGGAGGCAGCAGUAGGGAAUCUUCGGCAAUGGACGAAAGUCUGAUCGAGCAACGCCGCGUGAGUGAAGAAGGUUUUCGGAUCGUAAAACUCGGUUGGUAGAGAAGCGGUAUCUAACCAGAAAGCCACGGCUAACUACGUGCCAGCAGCCGCGGUAAUUC